rnacentral:rRNA from 1 species
AGUAAUACAUAAGUAACCUGCCCUAGACAGGGGGAUAACUAUUGGAAACGAUAGCUAAGACCGCAUAGGUACGGACACUGCAUGGUGACCGUAUUAAAAGUGCCUCAAAGCACUGGUAGAGGAUGGACUUAUAGCGCAUUAGCUGGUUGGCGGGGUAACGGCCCACCAAGGCGACGAUGCGUAGCCGACCUGAGAGGGUGACCGGCCACACUGGGACUGAGACACGGCCCAG